rnacentral:snRNA from 1 species
AGGAGAUACUGUGAUCAUUAAGGCCAUACUCUCAAGGCAAUGCCUAUCCAUUGCACUCUGGGCAGGUUGACCCAUGCAAUUUCCCCAAAACUGCAAUAGGA